rnacentral:rRNA from 1 species
UACGAAGGGGGCUAGCGUUGCUCGGAAUCACUGGGCGUAAAGGGUGCGUAGGCGGGUCUUUAAGUCAGGGGUGAAAUCCUGGAGCUCAACUCCAGAACUGCCUUUGAUACUGAAGAUCUUGAGUUCGGGAGAGGUGAGUGGAACUGCGAGUGUAGAGGUGAAAUUCGUAGAUAUUCGCAAGAACACCAGUGGCGAAGGCGGCUCGCUGGACCGGAACUGACGCUGAGGCGCGAAAGCGUGGGGAGCAAACAGG